UACGUAGGGGGCAAGCGUUGUCCGGACUCAUUGGGCGUAAAGAGCGUGUAGGCGGCCAGGUAGGUCCGUUGUGAAAACUCGAGGCUCAACCUCGAGACGUCGAUGGAAACCAUCUGGCUAGAGUCCGGAAGAGGAGAGUGGAAUUCCUGGUGUAGCGGUGAAAUGCGCAGAUAUCAGGAAGAACACCUAUGGCGAAGGCAGCUCUCUGGGACGGUACUGACGCUGAGACGCGAAAGCGUGGGGAGCAAACAGG
rnacentral:rRNA from 1 species